AAAUAAUUUAGGACAGGUUAUGAGUCAAAACUCGAUAUUUAGAUUAGGACAGGUACAGGUGGGCCAAAAGCCUAAUUAGACUAGGACAGGGUUGAUGGAUUUGGGAUUACGAGCCUAAGUCUUCUACUUCUCCCCUCCCCCCUUUACGUGCUUAUUUACUAUUUAUUUUCUUAGACUUGGUUAAAUUCCCUACUAAGUCAUCA
rnacentral:lncRNA from 1 species